rnacentral:rRNA from 1 species
UGGGGAAUUUUGGACAAUGGGCGAAAGCCUGAUCCAGCAAUGCCGCGUGUGUGAAGAAGGCCUUCGGGUUGUAAAGCACUUUUGUCCGGAAAGAAAUCCUUGGCUCUAAUACAGUCGGGGGGAUGACGGUACCGGAAGAAUAAGCACCGGCUAACUACGUGCCAGCAGCCGCGGUAAUACGUAGGGUGCAAGCGUUAAUCGGAAUUACUGGGCGUAAAGCGUGCGCAGGCGGUUUGCUAAGACCGAUGUGAGAUCCCCGGGCUCAACCUGGGAACUGCAUUGGUGACUGGCAGGCUAGAGUAUGGCAGAGGGGGGUAGAAUUCCACGUGUAGCAGUGAAAUGCGUAGAGAUGUGGAGGAAUACCGAUGGCGAAGGCAGCCCCCUGGGCCAAUACUGACGCUCAUGCACGAAAGCGUGGGGAGCAAACAGGAUUAGAUACCCUGGUAGUCCACGCCCCUAAACGAUGUCAACUAGUUGUUGGGGAUUCAUUUCCUUAGUAACGUAGCUAACGCGUGAAGUUGACCGCCUGGGGAGUACGGUCGCAAGAUUAAAACUCAAAGGAAUUG